rnacentral:tRNA from 1 species
GCAGGAGUGGCGGAAUGGCAGACGCAUCAGACUCAAAAUCUGACGUGGGCAACCACGUGUGGGUUCAAGUCCCAUCUCCUGCA